CUGCACAUGUGCAGUCAGCCGGCAUUUUUCGAGUCGUGUUGUAAAUGUUGUUAAUUCGCUGUAAAUAUCACUUGAUUUGUACUCAAGAGUGGAGCAAGACCCCACGGAAGAGAGAUUGACGCAUCGGGAGCGAAGAACAGAAACGAUGGAUGGUUACGCUGCUUGGGUCUCGGCACGUUCGAAAUGGCAAAGUUCCGAAUUGGUCGCUGUGCUGUGUACGCUUGUGCGCUCGUCAUUUGCCGUCAUAGCGUGGAGAUAUUUGCGCUGGAUGUCUUUCACUUCGUGCACAAAACUCUGCACGCUGCGGCAUCGAAGAAGCUGUCCUGUGUUUGGGUGCACGUAUGCGCUUGGACACGGAUAGCCUGCUCGCUCUCAACGGGUGUUCAACAGUCUACGCGCGCUCGUAACUUUCUCAUGAGGUAAGCCCAUUUUAAUCUUAUUUGGUUUGCAUAACGUAGGUGUUAAAAUGAUGUGUGGUAAGCCGGUGUCGCGAACAGAAAUAUUGUUUCAAAAGAUCACUAUGCAACCUCUUAGGGCAAAAAUGACGCAUGAAUGGGGAGAGGGAUCACCCUAUCUUUUCAGAUCGAUUCCAGUCGUAGCGCGAUUGGCUCGAUCGCAAUUUCCGUGAGGUACUUCUAACGUUUUGUUCACUCGCGUUAAAAGCGUAGAAUAAAACUGCGUUCAGUUGAGCUCUUGUAAUGACGCUUGUAUUGGCUUGAGAGCAUACUGUAUCCGAUACAAGAACUUCUGUUAAAAUACGGAAAUAAACGUUCGAGGCAAUAGCAGUCGCUCACUACCUGUGAUCGUUACUUUCUUGCUUGGGUGCACGUUUUAAUUGUAACCAGAAAAAAACACUUCUUUGCUCUGGCUGCCCUGCUGUGUUUCCUCGGUGCAACUUUUUGCGGUGCAGCAAGACGUGUUGCUUCGAAUGAUGUCUGGGCAGUCAAGGCAUUCGUGUCAGUAAGCAAGCAGUAAACGGGGUAUCAGUGCGAAAAAAUUUGGACAUACAAGAGAAGCGAAUGGUAUCAUCAUAGACUCUUUUAUUUGACGAAUAAUUCAGUUGUAUUACUAAAGCGGAGAGUGGAUAUGCAUGAAAGUCAGAUUGUAUUGAUACUCAGCAAAAACAAGGUAACUUAUCAUUACUAAUCAAUCCUUUUCUUUUACUGAAAGGCAAGUUGCUGCUGUGCUGGAGCUGAGAAGAGGUCUGCUGCCUGCAAUGGGUCCAUCUCUCUCAAGUUAUUGCAGUAUUGUAGCUCACAAGGUUCAAAAAAAGUAUGGUGAAAGCUGUUGCCAAGGUUCCGACCAGAAAAGACAGCCAGUAUAAAAGGGUCCACGCCACUGAUCUCUACUACAAGGGAUGAACAGCACAUCAAGCGCCCUCGACUAAAGCCGGCCUUGUCCCGGAAGUUGGUGCUUCACAACUUUGCGGCACCACUUUGUUGCACGGCCCGUGGAGACAAGGUUUCUUAGACAUGGCCAUGGCUCUCAAGGAAGAUGCCGAGGCCACAGGCAGUUCCUCCAGUGACCGUGAAACGGUCCCCUGGGGCAUAAGUCUGGUUUGGCACCCCCACAUUUCUCCUGCAGCUUUUCUGUCUACUUCGCUAACCAAGUGGGUCAAUGAUGGCAAACGGAAAAAAGAAUCAGCAGCAUCAAAUGCAGAACUUGCUCAAGCUCAAUGCAUUUUUGGUGUGAAGUUUUUCUCUUAUCAUUUGUCAAAAAACGGGUAAUAAGUAUGAUAUGGUCUUCAUACGGACACCUCUUUCCCACAGAGAAUUAGCAGUAAAAAAAGCAGCUUAUGAAGGCUUGAAUAUUAGCUAGGAUGAUGUGGCAUAGAUAGGAUAAUGAUUAUGAAUGUUUCUAAUGAAGGUAGUGGUAGUAGAGUGAAUAAUCAGAGUUUAUAUAUAGAUUAAAAGACAUUUCGUUCCAAUGCCAGAAUUUUAAAUCAUCCCAAAUAAUUCUUGCAUUUUAUAGUCUAUGCACAUUGAGUGACAGUGCUUCUUGAUGCUUGCUUCUUGCUGACAUCAUUCUUAUGCAGCAUAAUUCACCUGUUAUAAAUUCCCUAUUUCUCCCGUUCAAGCAACUUUACAUUCAUCAUAAGAAACCUCGUAGAUGAGUUCCAGAAACUUGCUGAUGAGAUUAGGGGGUGGCGUGUACCACAGGCUUAGAUAUGCAUUCAAGAGCCUCAUAUCUUGCAAAUGUUAGAAAUACUCCUGCUAAGCAAGUUCUUGGUGUCAUACAAGGUUAUUUGCGAAUACGAAUUUGCCUAAAUUUAGAAAACAGUCAAUCUAAAACAUGUCAAGCGAUAUCGCUGACGAUACACACACAUUCCAACUGAACUAAAUACAAAUAAAUAUAGCACCAAAUGCAGAAUCAUUGGCAUGAUGCCAUUCUUUCAGUGGAAUAAAAUCCGUCCUGCGUUGUAAAUCUGGAAUCCUUUAUAAUCCAGACUACUAAAUACUUAUGAGGGUUGUGACGUAAAAUAUGCAUGUAUUUAUUCCUCGUUUUUUUACUUUAAGACCCGAUAAUGCUUAAACAGCAGUGAAAGAACUGAGAUCACAGUACCUGAUACGUUAUAUUGCUCCAGAAAUCCAUUUCUCUGCCGAUCGCAGCAUUCGGCACUAACAAGAAGGCACAUAACACUUAGGUUGGUGCUAUUCACUUUGAUUGUUUGGGAACGAAACCCAUAAUGUACAUGUUAUGGCCCUACGUGUCAUUACGUUUGAACAACAAAAAGGUAGGGGGUUUGAAUUUUGCAAAACUGCAUGGAGGUUUUUAUUGCGUGCAAUUAAAAUUAGGAACCUUCCCAGCUCAUACUAAAUGCAUUCUCCAAAGCUUUAGGUUAUACAGGUGCACUACUUUACACAGAACACACUCUUUUCCCUCGUCACGGCCCACACUCUUAGGCAGAGUUACACCCUUUGAAGUGCCCCUUCUUCUACACAAGGAUAAUUGUCAUCUGCCUUUAUGCAUUUCCUUUCUUUAACGCUGCGAGCCCUGUGCUUUCCAGUAACGAACGGCAUGCGCGUUAUCAGCAUUAUAGCAUUCCCGACAGCAAAGUAGCGGGCGUGGCGUUUUCAAGAAAGGAAACGCAUCAAGGCAGAUAACGAUUAUUGUUGUGUGGCAGAAGGGACACUCCAAAGGGUGUAACUUUGCCUAAGAGUGCAGGUGGUGAUUCAGAUUCUUCAAAGGUGUUUCAUUGUAUGGGAUGGCACAUCGCGCUUCACUUAUUUGCAGAAUAUUGCAUUCCAAUUGUGUCAUAUGAGAUAAAUGUAUUAGAGAGUUUUAGCUUGCCCUAAAUUUAUUACAACUGUGUACUGGUAAACGGGCCGCAGCUUGCAGUGCUUGUGGAAAAACAAUUGUAACUGCCAUAUUAUAUGUAACUGCUAGUGCACAGGCAUCGGCAGCAGCCAUGGUUAGGGUACACUUGUUUCUUCUAUUCUGGGGUAUGCAUCCUCCACCAGAAAGUAGUUUUUUCGUCUUCCUCUUCUACCAUAUUGG
rnacentral:lncRNA from 1 species